CUCUCUCUCUCUCUCUGCUCUAUGUAACUGUGGAGUGUGGAUUCUUCAAGAAAGCAGCAAUUUCUCCUUCACAUUCCUUUAAAAUUCUCGGGUAUGUAACUACUCUCUCUCCUUGCUAUGUAUUUCAAUUCACUCGCUGCUAUUCCUCGCUCUCUCUUUUUCCGUUUUGCUCAAUGUUUGAAUCUCUUGCCGAGAUUUUGUCUUGUUGAUAGUGGUUAUGAUUGUUUAAUUCUGAAAUGAGAAGCCAUUGAAUGCUAUUUCUAGUGGGAAUUUGGAAGAGCUAGGGCUUUGAGGUCUUGAAUUUUUAUAGUUUAUUGAAUUUGUGCACAUAUUGUGUUUGAGAAAAUGCUUGGCCGAGUCAAAAAUUGAAAUCCAUGGGAAAACGAAUUUAUGCGAAGGAAUUUAGUGGGACAAUAAUUUAAGUUUAAAAUAUCUUCAGAUUAAAAAACAAUAAAUAUGUCAUAUUAAUUUGAAGGAAGUAUUAGAGUUUUUCAAGCUAAGCAACGAAGUCUCUGAAGUGCUCACAAGAUUGAUAGUGCGAGAAGUAGCAUAUAGAAGAAGUUUGAGGCCAAAGAUACCUAGGAGAUUGAAUGAUAAAUUUUAUCCUUAGAACAGUGAGUUAUUGAGAAAGUAAGGCAUUGGUAGGCUUUUGGCUUCUGUUACUUGGGACCUAUGUGCAAGUUUCAGUUUUGUUUUUUAGUUGUACAUAUCAAACAAUAUAGUUAUUAGUUAUUGAAACUUAUUAUCACCAUAAAUUUUAUAUAAUUGAACCAAGCAUUUAUCUUAAAGAUAAUGGUACACCUAUGUUCUUAAAAUCCUGGAUACGUCUCUGGUAUCGUCGAUUUAAUUUGGCAAGAUUCUUUCUAACGUAAGUGUAAGUUUUGCUUGAUAUAGCGUUGACAAACUUUAUCUUAUAUGGCCACGUAACAAGAACUUGGCACUCGUCUUCGUUCAUGGCACUUUAUCAAAAUAUCAAUGUAAUUACUGCUAUUAUUGUAUAUGGUCGAAAUCGGGCAUACCCGAUUUCAUUGGCAGGGGAGUUACCUCGAAGGGUAGCUCCAUAAUAGAUCAGACUCGAGCUCGAAGAUAGAACAUCGGACCUGGAGAUCGAAGUGUUCAUUGAGAUCGAGGCCAGCAACAAUCGAGACCAAGCAUAACUGACUUCGAGUAAGUCGUGACAACGGAAUGGCGAGAUAUCAGGAGCCGGUCGAAGAUCACAGUGGAAAUCCCAUAACAGAUCAAAUCAAAGCGGUUAUUGAUGCAAAUCAUGGAAUUUACUUCCGUUGUUAGAUUUGUACCUUAUUUAGGAUUCCUCUAUGAUAUAAAGAGGGAUCCCAUUCAUUCGUAAGAUCCAUCAUUCACUAUUCACCGAUAAGAAUCUAUACAUCCGUUGCUCUCUUUAUUUUAUUGUUCAUCACUGUUCAUCAUUGUUUGUUCCAUCCUCUAUUGUUCUUAUUAUUCAACCUCAAGACUAUCUCGAAUCGAGGUCGAGGCAUUGCUUGCAGAUCGGUUUGAUCUAUUUUAUUAUCCAAUUUAUCUAUUUAACUCAUUGUUUAUCAAUUGGUAUUGAAUUAAAUAACAUAUCCUUAAAACCACAAUAUAUGUUUAAUUGUUACUCGAUUUUUAGGGUAAAUAGUUCGGCGCCCACCAUGGGGCUAAGGAUAAUAGUGAUUGUUCAGUACUGAUUCUGGUAAAACACAUUAUUUUAUGCUUGUUCUUGUCAAGAAUAUUUGCUUUCAGGUUAAAACAUGUCAAACUCACAGAACUCAUCCACACACGGUGACAAUGGCCUCGGAUUACAUGGGGAAAACAAAAAUGUGAAUUCACCAGGAGCCGAGGUUCCACACGCUAAUCUUGGAGGAGCACCGAUUGCCAAUCCAAUCGAUGUCAGUUCCCACAUUGCUUUAAAUGCGGACCUAUGCACAAACCUCGAAGGGAGUGUACGCCGGGAAGGCCGGUCAGGUGUCCAAGGAACAGAGGGCAGAAGAGACGAAGGAGUCAGUCUCCAAGUGAUAUUCGAGAUGCUUCAGGCUCAACAAGCCGUUAUUGCUCAGUUACAAAAUCAACAUAGAGCUCCGAAUAGGGUCGAGCCAGAAACUACUCGCCAUACCGAGCCAGUACUGGAAAGGUCGAAUGGUAACGAAUCGGGGACCGAUCCUACGAUAAUGAAAAUGAUCGAGGAGAUCACCAAAAGAAUUGAAUCAGGGGAGAAUAAAAUCGAAGCCAACGAUAAAAAAGUGGAGACAUACAACUCCCGAGUUGACCAGAUACCGGGGGCACCGCCAAUCUUGAAAGGGAUGGAUUAGAAGAAGUUUGUACAAAAAUUGUUCCCUCCAAGUACGGCUCUGAAGCCUAUUCCAAAGAAGUUUCGUAUGCCAAACAUACCCAAAUAUAAUGGGACCACCGAUCCGAACGAGCAUGUCACUUUCUAUACAUGCGUCAUUAAGGGUAACGAUUUAGAAGAUGAUAAAAUCGAAUUUGUGUUGUUGAAAAAGUUUGGAGAGACCCUGUCGAAAGGAGAAAUGAUCUGGUAUCACAACCUACCACCAAAUUUCAUCGACUCAUUUUCCAUGUUAGAAAAUUCAUUCGUAAAGGCGCACGUCGGGGCCAUAAAGGUCCCACCAAGGAAAUCAAAUCUUUUCAAGGUAAUACAAAGGGAUAAUGAAAUGAUGAGGGAGUUCGUGUCUCGAUUUCAAAUUGAGUGCAUGGAAUUGCCACCGGUCACGGAUUUCGAUAGCAUCAUGUUAAGCUUUCAAAUGGAGCGCAUGGAAUUGCCAAGAUUUCACCCAAGGGCUGAAUGAAUGGAGUUCGAUAGCAUCACGUCAGUUGAAAUAAAAUUUGGUCGACUAUCCAGCUGUAACUUGGGCAGAUGUGCACAAUCGAUAUCAAUCGAAGAUCAGGGUCGGGGACGACCAACUAGGAUCCCCUUCCAGUUUAGUACAUCCAAACAAUCGACAGUUAAAAACCAGAGGGACGUCGACAGGGAGCCAAGGUCGAACAAAGACCGAUACCAACCAUAUAUCGCAGAUCGAAGGAACAAUGGCCCAGGACGUAAUUCCGCCCGGAAUGAUCGAAGGAGCGAUCGAGGACAGAAUUCUCGGGGGAUUAUGAGAAAAAGUGGUUUUGACAAGUAUACUGAUCCCAUAGAAGCACCUCGGUUAUCAGAAUAUAAUUUUAGCAUCGAUGCAUCAGGCAUUGUAUCGACAAUCGGAAGGAUCAAAGAUACUAGGUGGCCCAGACCUAUACAGACUGAUCCUUCCCAAAGAAACCCAAAUUCGAUGUGUAAGUAUCAUGGCAUGCAUGGUCAUAGGACCGAGGAUUGCAGGAAAUUAAGGGAGGUAGCCCGUCUAUUGAACGAGGGCCACCUUCGAGAGUUCCUCAGUGAUCGAGCCAAGAAUAAUUUUAGGGAAAGGGAUGCCAACAGGAAAAAUGAACAGGAGGAACUGUAGCAUGUCAUUCAUAUGAUCGUUGGUGGGGUCGACAUUCUACAGGGACCCAUAUUCAAAUGCACCAAGGUAUUGAUCACUAGGGAAAAAUGAACCCGAGAUUAUGUUCCAUAAGGCACCUUAUCCUUCAAUGACGAAGAAGCAGAAGGAAUCUCUCAACUCCACAAACGACGCUCUGGUACUUUCUAUCUUGUUAAAUAAAGAUCAAGUUAAUCGUGUUUUAGUGGAUCCAGGUAGCUCGGCAAAUAUCAUCCGAUCGAGGGUCGUGGAGCAGCUCGGCCUACAGGAUCAAAUCGUACCCGCAUCUCGAGUCUUAAACGGCUUUAAUAUGGCCAGUGAAACAACUAAAGGGGAGAUUAUCCUACCGGUGAACGUGGCCAGAACCAUUCAAGAUACCAAGUUCCACGUAAUCGAGGGCGACAUGAGGUACAAUGCCCUACUCGGAAGGCCUUGGAUCCACAACAUGAGGGCAGUCCCCUCGACUCUCCACCAGAUGAUGAAAUUCCUGACGUCGGACGGUGUAAAAAUAGUGUACAGGGAGCAACAUGCUACAAAGGAAAUAUUUACGAUCGAUGAGGUAACACCGAUAUCGAAGUUAUCAACAUCAAAAAAGUCGAGCAUCAAAGGUAAACAAUAAUACAAAUAGCAAUCACCGCCACCAGCCUCGACCAUAUCGGGGAAGCAGGAGAUAGAAGAAGAAGAUGAGGAUUUUCUGACCCCUCGAACUUUUGUUGUUCCCAAAGAUUCUGACGCCACCAAAUCAACGGUCGAAGAGCUGGAAUAGAUUAUACUGAUCAAGUAGCUGCCUGAGCAAAAGGUAUACCUGGGAACGGGAUUAACCCCCAAACUCAGGAAAAAGCUUAUUCAAUUUCUUAUUGAUAACAUAGAUUAUUUACUUGGUCCCAUUUAGACAUGACAGGGAUCCCACCGGAGAUAACAAUGCAUCAAUUAAGCUUGGACCCUAAGUUCAGACCGGUGAAGCAAAAGAGAAGACCCCAGUACGAGGUAAAGCACGCAUUCAUAAAGGACGAGGUAACUAAACUUCUCAAAAUAGGGUCCAUUCGGGAGGUAAAAUAUCCCGAAUGGUUAGCCAAUGUAGUCGUAGUCCCUAAAAAAGGGAACAAACUUAGAAUGUGCGUAGACUAUAAGGAUUUAAACAAGGCAUGCCCCAAAGAUUCUUUUCCACUGCCUAACAUCGAUUGCAUGAUCAAUGCCACGGCCGGCCACGAGAUCCUUACUUUUCUCGAUGCUUAUUCCGGGUAAAAUCAAAUUCAGAUGAACCCGGAAGACCAAGAAAAUACUCCAUUUAUCACCAAGUAUGGAACAUACUGUUACAAUGUAAUGGCAUUCGGGCUAAAAAAUGCAUGGGCUACUUACCAACGCCUAUUAAAUAAAAUGUUCGAAGAACAAAUAGGUAAGUCAAUGGAAGUGUAUAUUGAUGACAUGCUAGUUAAGUCCUUGCACGCAGAGGACCAUCUAACUCAUUUGCAGGAAUCGUUCGAGAUUCUGAGGAAAUAUAACAUGAAGCUCAACCCCGAGAAAUGUUCUUUCGGGGUCGGUUCGGGCAGGUUCCUUGGCUUCAUGGUGUCGAAUCGGGGGAUCGAGAUCAACCCCGAUAAAAUCAAAGCCAUCGAAGACAUCACCGUUGUGGACAGUGUAAAAGCCAUACAGAGGCUAACUGGACGGAUAGCUGCCUUAGGUCGAUUCAUCUCGAGGUCAUCAGAUCGAAGCCACAGAUUCUUCUCUCUACUCAAAAAGAAGAACGAUUUCGCCUGGACCCCGGAAUGCCAACAAGCAUUAGAGGAAUUAAAGCGAUACUUGUUGAGCCCAGCACUGCUUCACACUCCAAAGGCAGAUGAGAAACUUUACUUGUACUUGGCCGUAUCAGAAAUUGCGGUAAGUGGAGUCCUUGUUCGAAAAGAUCAAGUUAUGAAAUUCCUUGUUUAUUACAUAAGUCGAACUUUAAGAGAAGCAGAAACUAGAUACCCACACUUAGAGAAAUUGGCACUUGCAUUGAUAAGCGCCUCUAGAAAGUUAAAACCAUACUUUCAGUGUCCCCCAUGUGCGUAUUAACCACUUACCCCUUUCGUAAUAUUUUGCACAAGCCCGAACUGUCGGGUCGACUGGCCAAAAAGGCCAUCAAACUUAGUGGGUAUGAAUAUCAACCUCGAACGGCCAUAAAGUCUCAAAUCUUAGCGGACUUCGUGGCUGAUUUCACACCAACCCUCGUACCCGAAGUAGAAAAGGAACUCUUAUUAAAAUCGGGUACAUCAUCGGGGGUAUGGACCCUUUUCACAGAUGGUGCUUCGAAUCUGAAGAGGUCGGGGCUAGGCAUCAUUUUGAAGCUGCCCACAGGUAACACUAUUAGGCAAUCUAUCAAAACUUCUAAGUUGACUAACAAUGAGGUCGAGUAUGAGGCCAUAAUUGCAGGUCUCGAUCUAGCUAAAAUCUUGGGAGCAGAAGUCAUUGAAGCUAAGUGUGACUCUUUACUGGUGGUUAACCAAGUAAACAAAACCUUCGAAGUUCGAGAGGAUAGAAUGCAAAGGUAUUUGGACAAAUUGCAGGUAACUUUGCACCGUUUCAAGGAAUGGACUUUACAGCAUAUACCUCGAGAACAAAACGGUGAGGCGGAUGCACUUGCAAAUUUGGGGUCAUCGGUCGAAGAGGAUGAGAUCAGCUCGAGGACUGUCGUUCAACUCUCGAGAUUUGUGAUCGAGGAAGGUCAUGCCGAGAUAAACUCUACAAGCUUAACCUAGGAUUGGAGGAAUAAAUAUAUUGAAUACUUGAAAAACGGAAAUCUCCAAUCGGACUCUAAAGAAUCGAGGGCCCUACGAACCAAAGCUACUCGAGUCACGUUGGCUAAAGAUGGAACAUUAUAUAGGAGAAUGUUCGACGGACCAUUGACAGUGUGUUUGGGACCAGGGGACACCGAUUAUGUUCUACGAGAGGUCCAUGAAGGCACUUGUGGGAACCACUCCGGCGCCAAAUCACUGAUUCACAAAGUCAUUAGAGCAGGAUACUACUGGGAUAGCAUGGAAAAAGACUUUAAGGAGUUUGUUCGAAAAUGUGAUAAAUGUCAAAGGUUUGCACCGAUGAUCCACCAGCCCAAAGAACAACUUCAUUCGGUCCUAUCCCCAUGGCCAUUCAUGAAAUAAGGGAUGGAUAUCGUCGGCCCUCUGUCAUCGGCCCCAGGUAAAGCUAAUUUCAUUUUAUUUAUGACUGACUAUUUCUCUAAAUGGAUUGAAGCACAAGCUUUCGAGAAAGUCAGAGAGAAAGGGGUUAUAGACUUCAUUUGGGAUCACAUCGUGUGUCGAUUAGGGAUACCCACCGAAAUAGUGUGCGACAACGGAAAAUAAUUUAUCGGCAGCAAAGUGACGAAAUUUCUCGAAGACCAUAAAAUAAAAAGGAUAUUGUCAAUGCCGUAUCAUCCUAAUAGGAACAGACAGGCUAAAUCGACGAACAAGACUAUCAUCCAAAACCUAAAGAAAAGGUUGAACGACGCUAAAGGGAAAUGGAGAGAAAUUCUACCCGAAGUCCUUUGGGCAUAUCGAACAACAUCGAAGUCCAGUACAGGGAAAACUCCAUUUUCCUUAGUAUAUGGCUCAAAGGCUUUGAUCCUAGUCGCAGUCGGGGAACCCAGUGCCAGGUUUCGACAUACAAUAGAAGAAUCAAAUCACGAGGCUAUGAAUACUAGCCUCGAAUUAUUGGAUGAAAAACGAGAAGCUGCACUCGUUCGAAUGGCUGCACAAAAGCAACGAAUCGAAAGAUAUUACAAUAGGAGAACCAACCUUCGCCACUUCAGAGUCGGGGACUUAGUCCUAAGAAAAAUCACCAUCAACACUCGAGAUCCCAAUGAAGGGAAGCUCGGCCCAAAUUGGGAAGGACCCUAUCAAUUCCUCGACAUCGUCGGAAAGGGGUCUUAUAAGCUCGGCACGAUGGACGGCGAACAACUGCAAAACAAUUGGAACAUAUCACUUCUUAAACGAUAUUAUUGCUAAGGUAUGACAUUCUCCCUUUUAUUCAUUCAUAUAUUCAAUGCUAACUUACUGCAGGUAUUCGAUCAAAGACAUCGAAACCUCAGGUUUUAAAGCACGCAUUGCACUCUUUUUCCCUUAGAUCGAUUUUUAUCCCAAAUGGGUUUUUCCGGGGAGGUUUUUAACGAGGCAAUAAUUAUGUGUUACCUGGGGACAAUUCAAUAGUAUCCAAGGAUUCUUUACAAUCAACAUCGAAUACUGGAGGGGCAUCACCCUCGGAUGUUAUAUGUUUGAGGAAAAUACUUCGUGUCAAAGGGUCUCGAUAGGAAAACUUUGUAAUGGGCCAAACGGUCGAAUGAACCAUGUCCACAUUGAUUAGUCGAACUCGAUGGCAAAACAUGUACUCAUGUAUAAAUUAUUCAAAGAAGCAUUCUUUCUAUUUCAAAUAUCUUGUGUCACAAAGAAAAUUUUCUAAUAUACGAGCUCCAUACUUGUGAUUUUGUGAGAAAUGGCUCAAGAGCCAAAUGCAAAUAUUCCUCGAACACUCGGGGACUGCCGUCGAUGAUCAACAUAUUUGAGUUAUCUAAACUCAAAUUCAUAAGACUUCAAAAAGGCACCCCUCGAUCUAUAGGCCAAGGCCGUCAUUCUCGGGGACUAACAUUUCGAACAAGUUCGAAGUGUUAUUGGGAAAUAAUCCCAAGAGGCAUACUCAAAGGAUACGGUCAAAUUAAUGCGGCUCGGAGACGUCCGAAUCCCGCUAUAAAAAUAGGCCUUCGAAUUAUUCAAAAAACCGGUAAAGGCUACCCUCGGCAAAUAAUCAAAUGGGCUUCGAUAAAAUCAGCCCUCAAAAAAUCAAAAAGGCUUCGAUAAAAUCAGCCCUCAAAAAAUCAAAAGGACAUCUGUAAAAUCAGCCCUCGAAAAACCUUAAGAAGUAUCAAAUUAUCUUAACAAAAACGUGCUAAGACAAAAAAAGCAAAGGGGUUUUAAUCGACAUCAAACCCUCAAAAAACCCAAUGGGUAAACAAAUACAUGCCAAGGCAUAAAGAAACUUUUUACUAAGUCUUUUAAGCUGAAAAAAGGGAAAAAAAUAGCCAUCUUCCAGAGGCCAUAUCGGCCCAAUCUAAAGAGCCUAAGGGCCAAUACACGUAGAGUUCGAUAUCUUGUUCUCACUCAAUUCGAACCUAAGGGUUCCACUAUUCCGAGCUCAAAUAAAACUGAUUCGAAUGUAGCUCAAGGAUUCAUCAUUAUUUGAUAUAAAACCUUAAGGGGUUUGUUAUUGUGAGUUCAAAACUUACUCGAACUUGGUUAUAAAAAUAGUGCAAGUAUGGCUUCGAUCAAGCCAUCAAUCAAAAUCCCAAACAUAUUGUUGAGCUCGGGGACUCGCCCUCGCUUAACUAAAAAACCUAAGGGUUUGUUCUACUGUAAGUUCGAUCUAGUGCUCACUCGAUUGUAGAGGUUGUAGCAACAAAGUUUUCACAAAGCAAAGGCAAAACAAAAUUUAUCACAAAAUCAUAGACAAAACGGAAAGAAAGGGAAUCUUUCAUAGAUGCAAAGUAUUUAUAAAGACCACAAAAGGCCUUACACAAAAAAUCCAAAAACAAAAAGAAGAAAAAAAUCCUAAGUGCCUAGUCCGCCUCGGGAGGCGCCUCUUCGGAAGCUUCAUCUUUAUCUCAUCCGCGAGUAGAUCUCCUCCGCUCUCGGAUCUACUCGCGGAUUCUUCAUAAUCGGAAAGCAAAGCUUCGGCCUCGUCCUCCAAUACCUUCGCACUCUCGAUAUCAGCUGUGAGGUCAAAGCCACGAGCAUGUACCUCUUCAAGAGUCUCUCUCUGAGACUGGCGCCUAGCAUGCUUGACGACGCAGGAUAAUUUAACCUCAGCAGCAACGUAAAUCACCUUUGCCCGAGUAUUAGCAUCUUCAGCGUCAGCUAAGUAAGAGGCCACGAGCACCUCCGCCUCGGAUGUGGCCCUUGUAAGCUCAGUGGCCAACCGAGCCUCGAGUUCUUCAACUUUCUUGGCUCGGGCCAAGCUCUCAUCCUUCACACUUUGGAGUUGACGCUCGACUGAAGACAGCUGGGGCCGAACCGCAUCCUUUUCCGAGGCAAGACGGUCCAUGUUCUGCUUCCACCCCAAAGUCUCUGCCUCUUUCAUCUUGGCCUCCUCACAAAGCUGCUUAACCAACUUGCCCUUUUGUUGAACCUGCAGGAUCAAAGUGUUAGUCACCAAUGUCAAGUUAAUACAUAACAAGCUCCCAAAAUUUACAUUACCCGUUCGAUAAGCUUGGUCUGAUCUUGAUGAGCUCUUGUCAGCUCGGCUCAAAGGCUCUUGAUCUCCUCUUCUUUGUGCACAUAGAGGAGUUUGAGGGUGUCACUCUCCUCCGUGAGCUUUUUGAGAUCAGCCUCACAUCAGGUCAGCUAAACCCGGUAUUUGGAAGACGCUUCUUGAUGGAGCAUUGUAGCCUGUACAGAAAGGAAGGAAAUCAGACUUAGAGAAAUAAGAACAAAUACAAACAUGAUAACAUGGGCUAAAACUUACUUGGUUCAGAAGCCACUGAGACUCAUCAAAAAUGAGUGAUGCAUCCAGUUCGGGAACAUCAUCGACCCCCGCGAAGCAGUUGUGGAAUAUAUCAUCCCCUUCGGGGGCCAUCCCCACAUCGGGGGUUCACAUGAACCGGGCAUCCCAAAACUGCCCUUCAAAGAACGUGGGGCCGGGCGACGAAUCAUCAAUGUUAAUUUCCCCAAGCGAGUCACUUGCGGCAUUCUCUUCUCUUUGAAAGGCCUCAGAAUUAGACCCUUCGGGCACACCCGCCGAUUGUUCAUCAACACCCGAAGACUUGGGGACUCUACUCAGAUCUUCCUCUGAGAUCACCUUGGUCCGUGGCUAAACCUCCUCGACCAUCGUUGGCUCAGCAGUUUUCGAAGUUUUAGUGCUUCCCCUCUUCCGAACCACCAGCAGGCAGUCGGCAUCCUCUCCAUCCUCGUCUUCCUCCCGUAGUUAUUGGACUACAUUGGCAGAUAGAAUGGAAGGAUCAAUCUUUAACUUUCGAGCCUUGCUCUUCCUAGGCUUCGGAGUAUCAGGAGGCGAGGCCCUUCUCCUCUUAUUUUCUUUAGUCUGCUUCGGGACCUCCUCUUCCCCGGGUGGAGGCGGCCUCAUGGUGAUAUUGUCUCUGACACUUGUAUAAGAAUAAAUCAAGUUAAAAGAGUAUUUUACAGGAAAGCACCAAACACAUGCAGAGGAACUUACCAUGAUUUUUGGCCUCCCAUCGACCCCUGGCCAAAUCGCGCCACGAGCGCUCAACAUACGAAGAGGUUGAGGCCUGUUGUCGAACCCAACCUGCAAGGUUCGGGACUGCACCAGGAAACCAAGGGGAAGCUGCACCAUAAAGAAGAAUAUAGAUGAGAAAAGGUAAAGGAAGCAUAACAAGUAAUCAAACGUUAUCGGUGAGGUUCUACUUACGCUUCAUGUUCCAUUCUUCGGGGAAUAGCAUCUUCUCGGCGGGGAUUAAGUCAGAGGUCCUGAAUCAGACAAACCAGUCCAUCCAUCCUCGAUCCUUGUCCUCGUCUAUGCUCGAGAAUAGUACCUUCAUGGCCUGGCACUGAAGCCUUAUCAGUCUGCCCCGAUAAAGACGGGGGUUGUAUAGCCCAAUUAGAUGAUCGAGGGUGAAAGACAUCCCCUCGGCCUUGCUCUUGAAGAAUCUAAGCAAAAUGACAAUGCACCAAAAGGAGGGGUAGAUUUGGCCUAGGGUUAUCCGGUAUUGGCGGCAAAAGUCGAGUAUGACGGGAUCGACGGGCACCGGUGUGAAAGGGUACGUAUACACGCUUAAGAACCCUUUCACAUGAGUGGCGAUGUCCUCCUCGGGGGUAGGAAUCACCACUUCUGUAUUCUCCCAGUGGCAGUCUUUUUUCACCCGCUCGAGAUCACCUCCGGAUAUCGAACAGAUGUAUCCAGACUAUAAUGACCCAGCUUGUCGUUGUGAGUAAUUACUCUACUCUCUACUAUUUGAAGUCUCGAAUAGCUUCAUAUGAUUUAUUAUGACUUGUAUGCAAAGUUUGAGGUCAAUCGGUCUUGAUUUGCUAUAUUUCGACAUCGAUUCUUCAAGAAUACGUGGUGUCACAUUAUCAAAAUAAGCUCCAAAUUCAGUUUUGAUUGAAGCAUUAGAUCCUUAUUGAAAUUACAGAGCCAUAGCAAAAAGAAUCGUCGAAUUCGGAUUAGAGAGUUAUGCCCAUUUUCGUGUCGGAAAAGAUUUUCCAUCGCCGCGAGCACCCAGGGUAGCGUGGAGCGCUAGCCCUAGCACUGGGAAUUUUUGGGGUACUGGAAACUGUGCCACGGGCAGUGCCCCAUGCUACCUGUGACACCCGAAACAGCUGAGGCCCUAUAAACGGGGUUUUCUACCAUUUUUGACAAAAAAAAUAGAGUUAGGGAGCUCGGUUUGGGCGAUAUUUGGGCGAUUUUCAUGGGUAAAUAUUGGGGUAAGUAUUUCUUAUUCUAUAUUGAUUAUAUUUCAUGAUACCAUACACAUUUACAUCAUGAAUCCGUCAAAUUAGGGAAGAAAAAUCAGAUUUUUGUAAAAUCUUUCAAAAAUGUAAAAUGAAGAUUUACAGGUCAAUCCGAUAUUGGAAUUUGAUAAAAUUGGUAUGGGUGAACUCGUAAUUGAAUGGGUUAUCGGAUUUUGUGAGUUUUUCCGGUUCCGAGAUGUGGGUCCCACGGGCAAUGUUUGAGUUAAAUUUCGGAUUUUGUUAGAAAAUUAGUAUUUUCAUAUGGAAUUAAUUUUUACGAUUCGUGUUGAGUAUAUUGAAUUGUUUGUUACUAGAUUUGGAGAUUUCAGACACGAAUUCGCGAGGCAAAGGUUUAUUGAAAUCUUGAAAUUGGUUGUGAAACGAGGUAAGUGUCUUGCCUAACCUCGAGUGGGGGAAUUACUCCUUAGGCAUCGAGUCUUAUGUGCCAUUUGUGAAAUGUGAAAAGCCGUGUACGCGAGGUGACGAGUAUGUACUCAGGCUUAUAUGUGCAAAUUUUAUUGGGUUAAAGUAUUAGGAAUUAUUGUGUAGUAAAUUGGAUAAUUGUUGGCAUUUAUUUAAUCAUCUAUUUGUCAUGCCUCAAACCACAUUUAUUGAAUUUAUUUUUAUAUGACGAUUUGAUGUGAAUGUUACCUGUAUAUUUAUAUGAAUUUCAUGAGUUUGAUGGUUGAUAUUCUUGGAAUUUAAUUUCAUUAUGAAUUUUUCCCUCUGCAAAUAUUUAAUUAAAUAAGCUUAAGAAGAGGUAUUUAUAUAAUUAUUGAGAAGUUGGAUUAAUGAAGGUGUUACCCUAUGCUGAGUAAUUUCUAUCUUUGUUUAUUGUUUUUGAGAUCUUAUACACAUUGUGUGGAGCCUUCGGCUAUUUGUUGUGAAAUUAAUUGAUUGUUAUAUCCUUGGAAUUGGUUGUGGCCAUUAGGCAAAUUGUGAGAUAAAUUGAUUUUUGUUAUGUUGCCUUGAUAAUAUUCCGUGUAAAUUGUUGUGUUGUGUGAGUUACUAUUUUGAGGAUAUAAGGGUGGCAUUCCACUAUUUAUAUUAUGUGGGCAUAAGGGUGGCAUUCCACUGUUGAUAUUAUGUGGGCAUAAGGGUGGCAUUUCACUGUUGUUAUGUGUGUUGGUAUAUUAUCUGGGCGGAGAGAUAACGGUAGCUAUAGGAGUGAUAAGGGUGGCUAUAGGAGAGAUAAGGGUGGCUAUUGAUAUUGUCAGGGCGGAAGGAUAAGGGAAGCUAUUAUGGUAGUGAUAAUGGUGGCUAUAUGAGCGAUAAGAGUAGUUAUUGAUAUUGUGAGGGAAGAGGGAUAAGGGAGGCUAUUAUAGGAGUGAUAAGGGUGGCUAUAGGAGAGAUAAGGGUGGUUAUUGUCAGUGAUGAUAUGUGAUGAUGUAGGGUUAUUGCGUUGGUAAUUUUUAUGUGGUGUUGUGAUUUUUGCUUGUGUUCAUUUUUAUACCUUGUGCAAUUUGUCUUGUUGUUGGUAAAUUGAUAAUAGUCUGAUCUAUAUUGAAAUUGGGAGCAUGUGAUUAUUGCCAGGCGGAUUAUGAAAUAAAAUGUGGGCACGAGGUACCGUGAGUAAAUAAUGAUGAUAUUGGUACGUGGACUGUCCAUGCAGUUGUGAUAUGAAAUGUGGGCACGAGGUGCCGUGGAAAUAUAAAAGUGGGCUGAGACCCGUAUUUUAUGAUUUUGAAAUGUUGUGUCACAGGGUGACUUUUAUUCGAAAGAGAUUUAGUUGAAAGAAUGUUAUUUGAAGGAAUUAUAUUUGAAAGA
rnacentral:lncRNA from 1 species